rnacentral:rRNA from 1 species
CCUACGGGGGGCAGCAGUGGGGAAUAUUGCACAAUGGGGGAAACCCUGAUGCAGCGACGCCGCGUGGGUGAAGAAGUAUUUCGGUAUGUAAAGCUCUAUCAGCAGGGAAGAAAAUGACGGUACCUGACUAAGAAGCCCCGGCUAACUACGUGCCAGCAGCCGCGGUAAUAUGUAGGGGGCAAGCGUUAUCCGGAUUUACUGGGUGUAAAGGGAGCGUAGGCGGAGGGCCAAGUCAGGAGUGAAAUGCCGGGGCUUAACCCCGGAACUGCUUUUGAAACUGGGGAGCUAGAGUGCGGGAGAGGUAAGCGGAAUUCAUAGUGUAGCGGUGAAAUGCGUAGAGAUUAGGAGGAACACCAGUGGCGAAGGCGGCUUACUGGACUGUAACUGACGUUGAGGCUCGAAAGCGUGGGGAGCAAACAGGAUUAGAUACCCGAGUAGUC